UACGAAGGGGCUAGCGUUGUUCGGAAUUACUGGGCGUAAAGCGCACGUAGGCGGAUCGAUCAGUCAGGGGUGAAAUCCCAGAGCUCAACUCUGGAACUGCCUUUGAUACUGUCGAUCUGGAGUAUGGAAGAGGUGAGUGGAAUUCCGAGUGUAGAGGUGAAAUUCGUAGAUAUUCGGAGGAACACCAGUGGCGAAGGCGGCUCACUGGUCCAUUACUGACGCUGAGGUGCGAAAGCGUGGGGAGCAAACAGG
rnacentral:rRNA from 1 species